rnacentral:lncRNA from 1 species
UUGGUUGGGUGAGUGAAAGGUGAAGGGCCCCUUUUUGAUCUCUUUGGGUUUUGCUUCUUUGCUAAGCCACCUACUUUCAGAACAACACAUAUCUUCGGCACAUUAUGCAACACUCUUUGGGGUGAUUGAACAAGAGAAGGUACAUACUUCAGCUAGGAGUCAAAGCAAGAGAGGAGUUCCCGUCGUGGCGCAGUGGUUAACGAAUCCGACUAGGAACCAUGGGGUUGCGGGUUCAGUCCCUGCCCUUGCUCAGUGGGUUAACGAUCCGGCGUUGCCGUGAGCUGUGGUGUAGGUUGCAGACGCGGCUCGGAUCCCGCGUUGCUGUGGCUCUGGCGUAGGCCGGUGGCUACAGCUCCGAUUCAACCCCUAGCCUGGGAACCUCCAUAUGCCGCGGGAGCGGCCCAAGAAAUAGCAACAACAGCAACAACAAAAAAAGCCAAAAAAAAAAAAAAAAAAAAAGAAAGCAAGAGAGAAAAAGUGACAUGCAUCAGUGUGGGUGAAUCUUAGCAGUGUAAUUAGGUGAAAUAGUAAUUUCUCAAAGAAUAUAUGCAAACGUAUCAUCUGGAUAAACAGGGAAGCACUGUAACCAAGGGAUCAAAGCUAAUGUCACCAAUGAGGGGGCCUCUGGAGGUGACUUACUGAGAACAUAGCACAUAGCAUCACUUCUAUAGUAUUCCUGCCAAAAUGUCUAUUUGGAAUGCCAUCAAAAAGAAACAUCGGGAGAACCCAAGUUGAGUGAUGUUAAUAAAAUAUCAGACAAAUAUUAAAUGUCAUGAAGAGCAAAGAAUAUUGGAAGAAAUGUUUGAGAUUAAAGAAGACCAGAGACACACAACUGAAUACCAUGUGCAAUUCUGGAUCAGAUUUUUGUAUUAAACAAAUUCUAUUAUUGGGACAGUUGACAAAACUUAAAAAUGGACUGCUGGUAAAAUGUAGGUAUAGUGUCAGUGUUAAAUUUCCUCAUUUGUAGUUAUGUAAGAGAUCCUCCUUGUUCUUAGAAAACACGCUGAUGUGUUAUGGGGCAAAGAGGCAAGAUAUAUGCAACCUAUUUUCAAAUGAGUUGGGGAGUAAGAAUUCUCUAUAAACAAAUGCAUAAAUAAUAUAUAAAUAAUAUAUAUCAGUAAGGCUGUAUAGGAGUUUGCUGUACUAUCCUUGAAAGUUUUUUGUAAGUUUGAACUUAUUUCAAAAUUAGAAAACCUCUAUUAAGUAAGGCAAACAAAGGAAAAAAAUAGAUACAGCACUUCAUAAAAUUAAAAAAUUAGCUUAAGAUUUUUUUUUGCAGAACUGUAUGUAGAAACAAUAAAACUGUAUUAAAAUAAAAGAAGGAAUGAUGGUCAGGAUUUGUCAUGGUGGUCACCAUGGGUGGGGGAGCCAGGGGAUGGAGUAAAAGGCUACCAAAGCUUUUGCUGUAGGAUUUUGUAAGAUUCCCCCAUUUUUUUUCAGUGGUUGUUAGAUUCACUAGUGCUUGCUACAUUACUAAAGGAAAUAAUUAGAAAAAACAUGAACCAACUAAAAGAAGGCCAUGCAUGGAACCUGCUGGAAUGAUCAUGAAACAUAACACCAUAAUUAAUCUAUUUGUUUGCAUCUGAGGUCAAUUAAAAAUCAAAGAAGGACAGAAAGUGAAAGAAAAAGGGAGGAGGGCAGAGGAACGGAGAGAAACAGAUAAAUCAAGGAGCAGGGAAAGGAAGGGAUACAGGGUGUUUUGAAGGAAAAGAAAAAUAAAUCUGAAGAAAAUAAACUAAAACAAUGGAUGAGAAAAGACUCAGCCUAUUUCUGAGGGAAGAGAAGAAUGGAUUGGAAGAAGCCGACAGGAUAAGAAACGGGAAUGCUGAGGCAGAAGAAAAGCUUAAAUGGUAUUUGUGAACCACAAGAGGGACACUCUGUCUCCACAGAAGAGUGUCAGCCAAAGGGCCAGAUUCCAGGAAAGGGUGAUGUGGUUAAACAACACACCAAGGUUUGGCCUAACAGAAGGCUGACACUCAGCCAGCUGGGCUUUUCCAAAAACUUGGAGAGUUGUGGUCACUUCUGGUUUCUUCAAUACUCCAAGCUAUUAAUUAGGAGGAACCGCUAGUUUAACCUGUGGCCAUAAUCACCUAGGACGGGGGCUUAUGCCCAGAUGCUUGUUGAAGGUAAUUGAAGGCCUUCCUCUGGGAGCUGCCAUCUUGCUUUAGCCUCUGGUGCCCAGCGUAGGAGUAGUGCAUGCUGGGAGCACGCAAGGGAAACUGGGAAUUAUGCAAAGUGCGGAUGCAUUUAUCAAGGAAACUUGCCACUGCUAAUGAUUGUCCUGUCGCCUCUGGGUGCUUAGUGAUAACCGAUCAAGGAAUGACUGGCCUUGGCAGCUCUAACAUUGCCAGGAUACUUUGGAAAUACUCAAGCAGGCUUAAAAGUGAAUAGCAUUGAGAACUAUGUCUAGAUACUCAUGUUGCAACAGAACAAAGGGUGGGGGAAAAAAUGUAAUUGUAAUGUAUACAUGUAAGGAUAACCUGACCCCCUUGCUGUACAGUG